AUUGAACGCUGGCGGCAUGCCUUACACAUGCAAGUCGAACGGCAGCACGGGAGCAAUCCUGGUGGCGAGUGGCGAACGGGUGAGUAAUAUAUCGGAACGUGCCCAGUCGUGGGGAUAACGUAGAGAAAUUUACGCUAAUACCGCAUACGAUCUAAGGAUGAAAGCGGGGGACCGUAAGGCCUCGCGCGAUUGGAGCGGCUGAUAUCAGAUUAGGUUGUUGGUGAGGUAAAAGCUCACCAAGCCGACGAUCUGUAGCUGGUUUGAGAGAACGACCAGCCACACUGGGACUGAGACACGGCCCAGACUCCUACGGGAGGCAGCAGUGGGGAAUUUUGGACAAUGGGCGAAAGCCUGAUCCAGCAAUGCCGCGUGCAGGAAGAAGGCCUUGGUGUAAACUGCUUUGUACGGUAA
rnacentral:rRNA from 1 species